rnacentral:tRNA from 1 species
GCCGCAGUGGCUCAGUCGGUAGAGCGUGCCCAUGGUAAGGGCAAGGUCACGGGUUCGAUUCCCGUCUGUGGCU